rnacentral:rRNA from 1 species
UACGAAGGGGGCUAGCGUUGCUCGGAAUCACUGGGCGUAAAGCGCACGUAGGCGGCUUUUUAAGUCAAGGGUGAAAUCCUGGAGCUCAACUCCAGAACUGCCUUUGAUACUGGGAAGCUUGAGUCCGGGAGAGGUGAGUGGAACUCCGAGUGUAGAGGUGAAAUUCGUAGAUAUUCGGAAGAACACCAGUGGCGAAGGCGGCUCACUGGCCCGGUACUGACGCUGAGGUGCGAAAGCGUGGGGAGCAAACAGG